rnacentral:rRNA from 1 species
GACUUAAGCAUAUCAAUAAGCGGAGGAAAAGAAACCAACAGGGAUUGCCCCUAGUAACGGCGAGUGAAGCGGCAACAGCUCAAAUUUGAAAUCUGGCCUUCGGGUCCGAAUUGUAAUUUGUAGAGGAUGUUUUUGGUGCGGUAUCUUCCGAGUUCCUUGGAACAGGACGCCUUAGAGGGUGAGAGCCCCGUACGGUUGAAUGCCUAGCCUGUGUAAAACUCCUUCGACGAGUCGAGUAGUUUGGGAAUGCUGCUCUAAAUGGGAGGUAAAUUUCUUCUAAAGCUAAAUACUGGCCAGAGACCGAUAGCGCACAAGUAGAGUGAUCGAAAGAUGAAAAGCACUUUGAAAAGAGGGUUAAAUAGCACGUGAAAUUGUUGAAAGGGAAGGAUUUAUGACCAGACUUUUUCUAGGCGAAUCAUCCGGUGUUCUCACCGGUGCACUUCGUUUAGUUUAGGCCAGCAUCGAUUUUCGGGGCGGGAUAAAAGCUUCAGGAAUGUGGCUCCUUCGGGAGUGUUAUAGCCUGUUGUAUAAUACCGCCCUGGGGAUCGAGGUACGCGCUUCUGCAAGGAUGCUGGCGUAAUGGUUAUCAAUCACCCGUCUUGAAACACGGACCAAGGAGUCGAACAUUUGUGCAAGUGUUUGGGUGUUAAACCCUCACGCGUAAUGAAAGUGAACGGAGGUGAGAGCCCUUACGGGUGCAUCAUCGACCGAUCCUGAUGUCUUCGGAUGGAUUUGAGUAAGAGCAUAACUGUUCGGACCCGAAAGAUGGUGAACUAUGCGUGGAUAGGGUGAAGCCAGAGGAAACUCUGGUGGAGGCUCGCAGCGGUUCUGACGUGCAAAUCGAUCGUCAAAUCUGCGCAUGGGGCGAAAGACUAAUCGA